UGCUCACUUUGGAAGCAAAAUACUAAAAUUGGAACGAUACAGAGAAGAUUAGCAUGGCCUCUGCGCAAGGAUGACAUGCAAAUUCGUGAAGCAUUCCAUAUUUUU